GUGAACGCUGGCGGCGUGCUUAACACAUGCAAGUCGAACGGUAACAGGAAGUAGCUUGCUACUUUGCUGACGAGUGGCGCACGGGUGAGUAAUAUAUCGUUACUGUGCCUCGAAGACUGUGAUAGCCACUGGAAACGGUGCUUAAUACUAGAUACACCUUUUUAACAUAAGUUAAAUCGGGAACUGUCUUUUCGCUUCGAGAUCAGACUAUAUCCUAUCAGUUAGUUGGUGAGGUAAUGGCUCACCAAGGCAAUGACGGGUAGCGGUUCUGAGAGGAUGAUCCGCCACACUGGGACUGAGACACGGACCAGACUCCUACGGGAGGCAGCAGUGAGGAAUAUUGCACAAUGGGGGGAACCCUGAGGCAGCAACGCCGCGUGGAGGAUGACGCAUUUCGGUGUGUAAACGCCUUUUAUAUGUCAAGAAAAUGACGGUAGCAUAUGAAUAAGCACCGGCUAACUCCGU
rnacentral:rRNA from 1 species